rnacentral:rRNA from 1 species
AUUGAACGCUGGCGGAAUGCUUUACACAUGCAAGUCGAACGGCAGCACGGACUUCGGUCUGGUGGCGAGUGGCGAACGGGUGAGUAAUGUAUCGGAACGUGCCCAGUCGUGGGGGCUAACGUAGUGAAAAUUACGCUAAUACCGCAUACGAUCUAUGGAUGAAAGCGGGGGAUCGCAAGACCUCGCGCGAUUGGAGCAGCCGAUAUCAGAUUAGGUAGUUGGUGGGGUAAAGGCCCACCAAGCCAACGAUCUGUAGCUGGUCUGAGAGGACGACCAGCCACACUGGAACUGAGACACGGUCCAGACUCCUACGGGAGGCAGCAGUGGGGAAUUUUGGACAAUGGGCGGAAGCCUGAUCCAGCCAUUCCGCGUGCAGGAUGAAGGCCCUCGGGUUGUAAACUGCUUUUGUACAGAACGAAAAGGUUUCUACUAAUACUAGGAGCUCAUGACGGUACUGUAAGAAUAAGCACCGGCUAACUACGUGCCAGCCGCCGCCGUAA